ensembl:sRNA
GGCACUGGCAGAUGGUACUCUGGCUUCGGCUAGACGGGGUUCAACUACCCGCAGUGUC